rnacentral:rRNA from 1 species
AGAGUUUGAUCCUGGCUCAGGACGAACGCUGGCGGCGUGCUUAACACAUGCAAGUCGAACGGAAAGGCCCUUCGGGGUACUCGAGUGGCGAACGGGUGAGUAACACGUGGGUGAUCUGCCCUGCACUCUGGGAUAAGCCUGGGAAACUGGGUCUAAUACCGGAUAGGACCGCAUGCUUCAUGGUGUGUGGUGCAAAGCUUUUGCGGUGUGGGAUGAGCCCGCGGCCUAUCAGCUUGUUGGUGGGGUAAUGGCCUACCAAGGCGACGACGGGUAGCCGGCCUGAGAGGGUGACCGGCCACACUGGGACUGAGAUACGGCCCAGACUCCUACGGUAGGCAGCAGUGGGGAAUAUUGCACAAUGGGCGCAAGCCUGAUGCAGCGACGCCGCGUGAGGGAUGACGGCCUUCGGGUUGUAAACCUCUUUCAGUAGGGACGAAGCGAAAGUGACGGUACCUACAGAAGAAGGACCGGCCAACUACGUGCCAGCAGCCGCGGUAAUACGUAGGGUCCGAGCGUUGUCCGGAAUUACUGGGCGUAAAGAGCUCGUAGGUGGUUUGUCGCGUUGUUCGUGAAAACUCACAGCUUAACUGUGGGCGUGCGGGCGAUACGGGCAGACUAGAGUACUGCAGGGGAGACUGGAAUUCCUGGUGUAGCGGUGGAAUGCGCAGAUAUCAGGAGGAACACCGGUGGCGAAGGCGGGUCUCUGGGCAGUAACUGACGCUGAGGAGCGAAAGCGUGGGGAGCGAACAGGAUUAGAUACCCUGGUAGUCCAA